rnacentral:rRNA from 1 species
AGAGUUUGAUCCUGGCUCAGGACGAACGCUGGCGGCGUGCCUAACACAUGCAAGUCGAGCGGGGAGAAGAAUUCGUUUUUCUCUUUAGCGGCGGACGGGUGAGUAACACGUGGGUAACCUGCCUCAAAGAGGGGGAUAGCCUUCCGAAAGGAAGAUUAAUACCGCAUAAUAUCUUGGUGCUGCAUGGCAGUGAGAUUAAAGGAGCAAUCCGCUUUGAGAUGGACCCGCGGCGCAUUAGCUAGUUGGUGAGGUAACGGCCCACCAAGGCGACGAUGCGUAGCCGACCUGAGAGGGUGAUCGGCCACAUUGGAACUGAGACACGGUCCAGACUCCUACGGGAGGCAGCAGUGGGGAAUAUUGCACAAUGGGGGAAACCCUGAUGCAGCAACGCCGCGUGAGUGAUGAAGGCCUUCGGGUCGUAAAGCUCUUUGAUCAGGGACGAUAAUGACGGUACCUGAAAAACAAGCCACGGCUAACUACGUGCCAGCAGCCGCGGUAAUACGUAGGUGGCGAGCGUUGUCCGGAUUUACUGGGCGUAAAGAAUGCGUAGGUGGAUAUUUAAGUGGGAUGUGAAAUCCCCGGGCUCAACCCGGGAACUGCAUACCAAACUGGAUAUCUGGAGUGCAGGAGAGGAAAGCGGAAUUCCUAGUGUAGCGGUGAAAUGCGUAGAUAUUAGGAGGAACACCAGUGGCGAAGGCGGCUUUCUGGACUGUAACAGACACUGAGGCAUGAAAGCGUGGGGAGCAAACAGGAUUAGAUACCCUGGUAGUCCACGCCGUAAACUAUGGGUACUAGGUGUA